rnacentral:rRNA from 1 species
GACGAACCGUGCGAACGUUAUUCGGAAUCACUGGGCUUAAAGGGCGCGUAGGCGGGCUGCCAAGUCAGGGGUGAAAGCCCACGGCUCAACCGUGGAAGUGCCUUUGAUACUGGCAAUCUCGAGGGAGGUAGGGGCGUGCGGAACUUCCGGUGGAGCGGUGAAAUGCGUAGAUAUCGGAAGGAACACCGGUGGCGAAAGCGGCGCGCUGGACCUCUUCUGACGCUGAGGCGCGAAAGCCAGGGGAGCAAACGGG